rnacentral:rRNA from 1 species
GACGAACGCUGGCGGCGUGCUUAACACAUGCAAGUCGAACGGAGCUAUUUACUUCGGUAGAUAGCUUAGUGGCAAACGGGUGAGUAACGCGUAGGCAACCUGCCCUCAGGAUGGGGACAACGGCUCGAAAGAGCCGCUAAUACCGAAUGACGUAACUCUUCCACAUGGAAGAGAUACUAAAGAUGGGUCAAACCAUCGCCUAAGGAUGGGCCUGCGUCUGUUUAGCCAGUUGGUGAGGUAACGGCUCACCAAAGCGACGAUCAGUAGCCGGUCUGAGAGGAUGAACGGCCACAAUGGGACUGAGACACGGCCCAUACUCCUACGGGAGGCAGCAGUGGGGAAUCUUCCGCAAUGGGCGAAAGCCUGACGGAGCAACGCCGCGUGAGUGAAGAAGGUCUUCGGAUCGUAAAGCUCUGUUGUCGGGGACGAAAGAGUAGACGAGGAAAUGCGUCUACUAAGGCG